GCCAGCAGCCAUAUCACUCUGCAACUCACAACUGGCAACCCACUGAAGCUAAGCAGGUGUGAGCCUGGUCAGUACCUGGAUGGGACCCACCUGGGAAAAUCUAAGGUUGCUGCUGGAA
ensembl:rRNA 5S_rRNA 5S ribosomal RNA